rnacentral:lncRNA from 1 species
GGCGACGGUUGCAGCAAGUCAACCGAGCCAGCCCGUGGCGACGGCGGCCACGCCGUCUGGCUGCAGUUCGGGGCACGCAAUGUUGAUGCGCUGCAUGGCGUCAAGUUGUUGGUCUUCAAGCACGAGCACGAGUUCGUCGAGGUUGACGCCGGCGAGGCGCUCGGCGUCGGCGGCCGGCAAGAGGGAACGGGCCACGCGCGCAUGCACCAGCGCCGAGUUGGCGUGCAAAAGGGCGACCACCGGGUUUUGGUCUUGCGCGGUGACGACGCUGCCCUGCGAGGCGUGGCGCACAAGACUGCGGAAGCGGUCGACCAGCGCUGGCGGGUAGCGGUUGCGGGCGUCGCGGCGCUCGAGGCCGCGCGCGACGAGCGCCAGCACGGUCACGAGGAGGAUGAUGGCGGCGGCACACACCAAUGCGAUCUUGAAUCGCGCGGCGCUCUUGGCGGCGGGCACCACGGCGCCCGACGCCGUCGUAGCGGCGGGCGAUGCGGGAGGCCCAUGUCGGGACGCAUCCAUAGACUGUGACGACAACGACGGCAGCAGUAGAGCGCGUAAACAAAGGCGACCCUUUUUCUUCCCCCAGGCGACCCCGAUGGGUCAGCGCGGCCGCAUCGUCGCCGGCGCGCGGCGUCGACCCCCACUCGCAAUGCGCCUGCACCGCCCAACCCCCUAAAUAAAAUAGAAAAAAAAUCGACAUUAAAAAAUAGAACAAAAUAACAAAC